GAAUUUGAAGCAAUUAUGCAGUUAGUUUCGACCUAAUYMGUUUCGACCUAAUCCU
rnacentral:tRNA from 1 species